rnacentral:ncRNA from 1 species
AAAUUGACUGUGAUAAGGAAAAGUAAGUAUAUUACUGUAUUAAAGAGAAAGAAAUCCAUUGGCUGAAAGGUUUCUGAGUAUAAGUGAUACUGAAAACCACCUUGGAGUUGAGUACGAAUUAUACUAAGUACGUCCGCAUAAGAGCGUUAUCUUAUAAAUGAGUGAGUAAUAGGAGACUAUUGCUAAUUUGGGUGGAAUCGCGAUGUCCUCGUCCCAUGU